AUAUUAGAUUUUUGUCUUACG
rnacentral:sRNA from 1 species